GGCGGUGCAGCCUCCUGCCCAGCAGAGCAAAGAGAGGCCAUGGAAGCUCUUGUCUGCACUUUGUUGGGAAGUGCAUUUGGUAAAGUGCCUGCAUAGUGUCUGGCAGAUGGUUGGAGCCCACUUGCUACUCCUCACACCCUUCUGCAGUCCCCUCUCAUAAAGCAACUGCCUCAGUGUGCAUGGCCAACAGAAUGUGGCAGAAGUGAUGGGGAGUCCAAAUGCCAUGUUGUGAGGACACUCAGGCACCCUAAAGAGAAGCGCACACGGCAAGGAACUGAGGCCUCCCGUUGCAGCCAGCCAGGUGAGGUCACCAACAUCCACAUGGGUUAAUG